UUGCUUGUUGACUAGAUUCAUUUUUGAACAUUGCAACAAACCUUUCAAGUAUGCUAUUUUCUGUUGUCAAAAAAGCUGUGUGGAAUCAAAAGUAGAUAUUAAUGCAGAUUUGUUUUUUAUUUAUAGGCUGAUGCUGUGCCAUGUGGCGAGAGCAAAGAUGGCAGGAUUUCUUGUGUGAAAGUUGCGGCCUUCAUCCAGACGGCGCAAUUUACGCAGACUUAAUGGAACAAAAGAAAGUUUGGAAAGAAAGGAAGAUGGGAGGACCUCGAGACAAAAAGAGAAAAUGCAUGAUCACUUUGUCAUCUAUUGAAGCUCAUGAAAACACCGCCGGUGAGCACCAUCCCCGUGCAAACAAAACAAAUGCUCUCUUUGCUCUGCACACAGCAGCAGUCUUUGUGUUGCUCUGUAUAUUUUCCUCUCUUUGUGCACUGAUCAUGACUGCACUGUGCCAGGAUGACC
ensembl:lncRNA